AUUGAACGCUGGCGGCAGGCCUAACACAUGCAAGUCGAGCGAGCGGCGGACGGGUGAGUAAUGUCUGGGAAACUGCCUGAUGGAGGGGGAUAACUACUGGAAACGGUAGCUAAUACCGCAUACCAUCAGAUGUUCCCAGAUGGGAUUAGCUGGUAGGUGGGGUGAUGGCUCAGCUGGGCAACGAUCCCUAGCUGGGCUGAGAGGAUGACCAGCAACAUUGUCGUCGAGGAAGUGUCCAGACUCCUACGGUAGGAAGCAGUUGGGAAGAGGGCACGAGGGGGGCAAGGGUGAUGCAGCAAUGCCGCGUGUAUGAAGAAGGCCUUAGGGUUGUAAAGUACUUAAAGCGAUGAGGCGGUACUAGCAGAAGAAGCACCGGCUAACUCCGUGCCAGCCGCCGCGGUAAUUC
rnacentral:rRNA from 1 species